rnacentral:lncRNA from 1 species
GUAGCUCUGCAGACAUGGACAGGAGAGGCCCCGCCCUGCAGGAAUGUCAGGCAGCCAUCAGGCUUCAGAGUUCUACAUCGUAUCCUACUUACAGCCCUAAAUACCUGUUAACUGCCACCCCCUGGACAGAUUAUUACAGUGACAACAGAAAUAUAAGUCACAUAAGGAGCUGCUGAAUGCACUCAAGACUCAACAAUCUCCAAAGAUACUGGAAGGCACGAAUGGAAAUCUGGACUCUGACAACUGUCCUUAGCAUGUUAUCUUUUACGCCAAUGCUGGCCAAAGAGAAGGACUUAAAACGUUGUACUGAUCCUUACAAGAACUUAGUUUCCACUGUUUCUUUCCACUACUUUUGCUAAAUUCAAAUUGACCAACCAAUAGCUGCUUAACUAGGACCACACCUUGCUCUUCCUGCAUCUUAUCCCAUGAGCAACACGAUUUCAGUUUCCCCAUAAUUUCCAAGAACUUGCCAGUGAAUAAUUCUCGGAAUAAAACUGAACUAUGACUGUGAAACUGCCUUUGCAAAAAUCAUAACUGAGAAAAGAAGGUAAAAGAGAUGUGUCCUAACUGCCUUCAUCUUUCUUUUAACCUCCAAGCUGUCUUAUUCAUUGCUGGUGUAGGCUAAACUAAUUUUGGAAGAAACUUAGUUUAUGAUUUAACUUUGAAACCAAGAUAAUAGCAGCCCUUUCCCUAAACAAACCCCCUUCCUGCCUACAGCCUAGACUGGCUUUGCAGGAUUAACAAAAUAGCCACAAAAUUAGAAAUUAUGGCUUAGGAGUCAUGCAGCUGGAGGGUACAAGAAUCUGAACCUCUCCAAAUUGCUCCUGAGGAUAACAUCACUAUUGUAAAAUCUAAGAUCAGUGCUUCAGAUAUUUUGCAGACUCUGUGCUUAAAGGAUCAGCUGGCACUACCCAGGUCUUGAUAAACUGGCUCAGUUGGACUUGUGGCCUCUGCCUAGGAACUGAUUCAGCAUAAGAGGACAGCUUUGACUCCCUAUUAUUUUAUCUCUGACCUGAUCAAUCAGCACUGCCAACUUUCUGACCCCCUAUACACCAAAUUAUUCUUGAAAACCUCAGUCUCCAAGUUUUGGGAGAGACUGAUUUGAGUAAAACUCUGGUCCCCUGUACAGUCAGCUUUGCAUGAAUUAAACUCUUUCUCUAUUGCCAUUCCCCUGUCUAGAUAAAUCAGCUCUGUCUAGGCAGUGGGCAAGAUUAACCCACUGGGUUACAUGUGGCCUUUCCCAAUUCUAUCUUAUGAAAUAUUUAUCUACUUGGUCCCCAUAGUCAUCUUGAAAUGUGUUUCAUGUUGCAAUGUUUUAAUAAAGGCUUUAGCUAAUA